rnacentral:misc_RNA from 1 species
GUGCCAUCCUGCAUUGUCCAACCUUCUUCGGGCAUCUUCUGUGCUUUGGCAACAAGGGCGUUGAUCCGCACCUUGAAUUCCUCGUAUUCUCUCUUCAUUGCUCGGCGCUCUUUAACAAAAGAAGGUUUUAUCUUGUCCUUCAAAUAAUCAAUCUUUUGUGCAAAAUAAAACUCAGGUGCCCUAGGCUCAAUAUUGUGCUUCUUGCA